rnacentral:rRNA from 1 species
UACGUAGGGGGCAAGCGUUGUCCGGAAUCAUUGGGCGUAAAGAGCUCGUAGGCGGUUUGUCGCGUCGGCCGUGAAAACUCGGGGCUUAACCCCGGGCCUGCAGUGGGUACGGUCAGACUAGAGUGCAGAAGGGGCAACUGGAAUUCUCGGUGUAGCGGUGAAAUGCGUAGAUAUCGAGAGGAACACCUGCGGCGAAGGCGGGUUGCUGGGCUGACACUGACGCUGAGGCACGAAGGCCAGGGGAGCAAACGGG